rnacentral:ncRNA from 1 species
GGGAUGUUGUUAUGCACUGGAUUUAUAUAGAGGUUUGGCGGUGAGCCAAACCUUUU